AGUUAUUAAAGUGUUUUAUUUUGUCAGGUAUGAACGACCGGACUGAUCUCCAAUCCUUAGUAACUUAGUGACUAGCCUCCAUGACCUGUCAUGAGACAAGUUUGCCAUGUUAUCACAUUAGUGAAAGUAAACCUGAUCGUGAGCAGCACUGCCAUAAUUAUAUAUUUAUUACACAUUUACAUAUUCAUCUUGAACAUUCUCUCUUCCUCAAUGGCUCAUGAGAUACACCUGGAAAUCAUUCCGUUAUUUAUUUAUUUUCAUAAAGAUGUUUUUGUUCAUGUCGGGCUGCAGAUUCAGUACUGUACCACAUUGAGGCAGCAGGUGGGGCAAAAGAGUUGACAUGGCCAAAUAAGAAGAUGAUAUGGCCACUGACUUCUGUGAUUCGCUCUGAAACAAUCGAAUGAAUGUUGUAGCAACGUCCACCCCGCAGUGAGACAUGUUUCGGUUAUAAGACGCAGCCAGACAUUUCUCGCAGCUCUUUUGAAGCAGUGUAUCUUUAUAUACAUGACAGUCAUUGUUUGGACGUGCAUUGAUCGUCCACAUCAAUGUAUGAUUCUGGCGUUCCAUUGCAUUUUCAUCUGUGGACUUCCUGUCCACUGACCACUACUGGGGUCAGAGCAAAGGUGUGAAGUUUUAUCUUGGCCCUUUGAUGACUUAUUAAUGAAUAUAUAGCGUGAAAAGGACCUCAAUUGGUCGCCAUUUCAGAUCACAAGACGCACUAACAAUAAUUAUAAUGGUUGGGGAGGAGGGGAUCCGACCUGGAAAGUCCCCAGAAAAUUCCAGUGUUUGUGUACUGAGCCAAGACAAUGAGUCCAGCUUGCCACAACUCAUCAGUGGACAGGAAAUGGGGAUGAAAGUGGGUGAAAGAGUUCAGCUGUGUUUGCCCCCCUCGCCACCAUUACACACAGAUGAACACACUCACACGCACACACUGGCACAUGCCCUCUAGCACCGCACACACGUGCACAUCCCUUGUUUGUUACGAUUGGAGCUCUGGAGGAAACAGGUGCAAGCUGUCAUUGUUUUGCAUCCAUAGAUCAAGUAUAACUAAGUUGGGUAACUUUGCCACAAAUAUGUAGGCGAGGUGGAAUGUGAGUGGGUCUGCUAGUCAUUUUCAUAAAGGCAUGAUCAAGCGGUCAAUACGGAGGAGAUUGAGAGUGUAUGUUGCCUCCUUAUAUACGAAGGGAGACUUUCAACUCACUUGUCCACUGCACCUGAAGACUUCUCUGUUGAAGAUGGGAGAGGCCAGAAUGAGAUGUGUGUCAUAGGCAUUAAACACAAGAGCUUUCUUGGCCAGUUUGAAUCAAUGUUUGGGAAGAAAACAAAUCAGUGCAUCACUGAUCAGGGUCACAUCUGUCACAGACUUCCACUUGAUUAAAAAUGUUUAAUUUAAAUUGUACAAAAGCAUUUUUGUCCAGCAAACAAGUACAGAAUACAUUUAUAAUUAUUUAUCUGUUUAUGUCUCUUUAUUUCAGUGGGAGACGUUGAAGUCCUCUGCCUGCUUGGACUACAACACAGAAGUCACUGCACAGAAUCAAAUGUCAUGCAGGCUCCAGGCCUAAAACUUAGCUCACCAAAUUUAAAUAUGCCAGAAAUAAAUAGACAAAAACUAGAAACUAUCAGUUUAGUGAACAAAAACAAUCUAGCGUCUUCGCAGCACUUUUCUUUCUCUGUUAGACCACAUGCUCAAAUAUCCAUCUUAUCUGUCAUUCACAGCGCCCCAAACUUUCCUCUCUCUCCUCAAACCCUCAAGGAACAUUCUAUAACAACCGACAACAAACAUUCACCCUGAACUCUUUCUUUCUCUUGCCAUAGCUCUUAUGGUCACAUCCUCAUUUUUGUCUCUCACAGGUCAUCUUCAGCAGGCCUGCAGAAGAGACUGGUAGGGCUCGGCCAGGACUUUGUAGCGGACCUUGGUGUUGGUGAUGGCUCCGUGUUUUUGGCGAAGGUGAAGUCGCAGCUGGCUCUUGUGGCGGAAGUGCAGGUCGCACUUUUCGCACUAUAAAAGUAACCAAAAGUCAUUAAUUCGCUUAUAUGAUGUUUUCCAUGUUUUAUUUUUACUAUUAUUACUGCAAGGUGAGCCAAAAGGACCGUUGAUGAUUCCUCAGUCUCAAAUGAAUGACAAAAUACUAGCGAUAUUAUAAUAGCAAUAUUAUAAUAGCAUCUCUGGUUGGAUCUGAGUGACUCACAGUGUAUGGCUUCUCGCCCGUGUGGAUGCGCAGAUGACUUUUCAGCGUCUGCAGGUGGCGAAAACGAGUGCCACAGGUGUGGCAGGGAUACGGUUUCUCCCCAGUGUGGAUCAGCACAUGAGCCCUGAGGUGUCGCAGCGGUAUGGCUUUUCCCCUGAGUGGAUGCGAGAGUGAGUCUUCAGGUUCGCCGGGCGGUUGAACUGUGCACCACAGACGUUGCAGUGGUACGGCUUGUCGCCUUCUCAGGACAAAGACGCUGCAGGGGAGCUGGGAUGGCAGCUGGAUCGUGCAGGACUGUCUGGAGAUCCAAUCCGGACCCCCAACAGAGGCGACCCGGGCUCUUUCUUCAGCUGUGUUGAUUUAGGCUGUGCAGCAGCAUGAAGUCUUGACACGUUUCAGCCACAUGGUCCAUCUGCAAGUACACCGCCACCGCCAGAACCCCGGGGGCCACUCCAGGAGUCAGUGGGAGGCGAGAGGUGUACAUGAAAUCCAGCAACAGGGAGACGCUCGAUGGAUCCAAGUUGUUGGGAAGAGAAACAGUCAUCAGCUGCUCCCUGCUGCUGCCGCAUCCCUGGAGCAUCACAUGCCUGGUGUAAAGCGAAUAAAAGAAUCCACUAGGAAGAGGGAGAUGGAAAGAAAGGUGAUCAGCGUCAUAGAUUUUUUAAAGUGGGUGAUAAGCAGCACUGUGUGUACCUGCAGGCGACGAGCACCGCUGAGUGCGCCUGCAGGUGUGUGUUGCCUACGACCAGCGUCGUGUCAGUCAGGAUGUUUCGGUGUCGUAGUUCAUUGAGGUUCAUCAGCACAUCGCUGCAGUGGCGGGUGAAUUCUUUCACGUAUGCUGCCUGCGGAGCUGUUGAUCUCAUCUGCCGGCUGCCCAAUGAGUAUCCUUGCUUACCUUCCAUCUCCUGUUUAAGUGCAUGAAAUGUUCAGUCGUGCAAAAGACUUUUGUGUUCGGUAUAAUGAUUACUUACUGAUGCUAUGAAUAUGAAUAUAUAGACUGGAGUGUCCCAGACACACGUGUUA